CAGCCGCCGCGGUAAUACCGAGGGUGCGAGCGUUAAUCGGAUUUACUGGGCGUAAAGCGUGCGUAGGCGGCUUCUUAAGUCGGAUGUGAAAUCCCUGAGCUUAACUUAGGAAUUGCAUUCGAUACUGGGAAGCUAGAGUAUGGGAGAGGAUGGUAGAAUUCCAGGUGUAGCGGUGAAAUGCGUAGAGAUCUGGAGGAAUACCGAUGGCGAAGGCAGCCAUCUGGCAUAAUACUGACGCUGAGGUACGAAAGCAUGGGGAGCAAACAGGAUUAGAUACCCGCGUAGUCCCUGUCUCUUAUAC
rnacentral:rRNA from 1 species